CGGGACCGCACAAGCGGUGGAUGAUGUGGAUUAAUUCGAUGCAACGCGAAAACCUUACCUACCCUUGACAUGUCCGGAAUCCCGAAGAGAUUUGGGAGUGCUCGCAAGAGAGCCGGAACACAGGUGCUGCAUGGCUGUCGUCAGCUCGUGUCGUGAGAUGUUGGGUUAAGUCCCGCAACGAGCGCAACCCUUAUCAUUAGUUACCAGCGAGUCAUGUCGGGGACUCUAAUGAGACUGCCGGUGACAAACCGGAGGAAGGUGGGGAUGACGUCAAGUCCUCAUGGCCCUUAUGGGUAGGGCUUCACACGUCAUACAAUGGUCGGUACAGAGGGUUGCCAAGCCGCGAGGCGGAGCCAAUCCCACAAAGCCGAUCGUAGUCCGGAUUGUUCUCUGCAACUCGAGAGCAUGAAGUCGGAAUCGCUAGUAAUCGCAGGUCAGCAUACUGCGGUGAAUACGUUCCCGGGUCUU
rnacentral:rRNA from 1 species